rnacentral:rRNA from 1 species
GGGAUAGCCUUUCGAAAGAAAGAUUAAUACCCGAUGGCAUAAUAGAACCGCAUGGUUUGAUUAUUAAAGAAUUUCGGUUAUCGAUGGGGAUGCGUUCCAUUAGGCAGUUGGUGGGGUAACGGCCCACCAAACCUUCGAUGGAUAGGGGUUCUGAGAGGAAGGUCCCCCACAUUGGAACUGAGACACGGUCCAAACUCCUACGGGAGGCAGCAUG